AAACCGGCUCUUCUAAGAGCCACCAAAUUUACAAAAGAAUAAAAU
rnacentral:ncRNA from 1 species